rnacentral:lncRNA from 1 species
AGUAGAAACAAUCUGAUUUUGGGAAAAUCUUACCUAAGCACUGGCCCACCCAGCUGUCAUUCUGUGGUCUGUGGAUGCUUCUGGCUUGGCAAACUCAAAACCAACUCAAUUUUCAAUACGAUAGGUUGGAAAUUGGGUAAAAAUGGUAGGACGCUUGAAAGCGAAGCAGGAUGAACAAAAGGGAAAAGUAAUUUCAGCAGCACUAAAUC